AACGAACGCUGGCGGCAGGCCUAACACAUGCAAGUCGAACGAGAAGCUGGAGCUUGCUCCAGUGGAAAGUGGCAGACGGGUGAGUAACGCGUGGGAACCUACCCAAGGGUACGGAAUAACUUCGGGAAACCGGAGCUAAUACCGUAUACGUCCUUCGGGAGAAAGAUUUAUCGCCCCUGGAUGGGCCCGCGUCGGAUUAGCUUGUUGGUGGGGUAACGGCUCACCAAGGCGACGAUCCGUAGCUGGUCUGAGAGGAUGAUCAGCCACACUGGGACUGAGACACGGCCCAGACUCCUACGGGAGGCAGCAGUGGGGAAUAUUGCACAAUGGGCGCAAGCCUGAUGCAGCCAUGCCGCGUGAGUGAUGAAGGCCCUAGGGUUGUAAAGCUCUUUCAGUGGUGAAGAUAAUGACGGUAACCACAGAAGAAGCCCCGGCUAACUCCGUGCCAGCCGCCGC
rnacentral:rRNA from 1 species